CCAGCGUGCACCGCUUCCUCCCCGGCUCGUUCGCAGUCCGACCCCACCCGGGCCAAAUUGCCACCCUUGGUGGGCGCGCUGCACCCUGGGACGUGUGGUCCUCCGAGGGGCUGGAGUGGUUCCUGCUAUCCCGCUUGCCCCGGCGCCAGGCAGCCAGCGGCCCCCUCCGUGGUCUGCAGGGUCCAGGGGAAAACCCGUCAGCUCUUUAUCCAUCUUCCUGCGAAUACGUUUCGCUGCGGGCUGGCAGGAGUGAGGCUCACACGGCCUCAGGAGUGAGCCUGCACCCGCCUGCUGAAAGAUGGGAGACCACAUGGAGAGGAGCCCAGCUGCCCAGCAAUGGACAGGCCACACCAGUGGACAGCCAGCCACCUCCCCCACGUGUUGGGGGAGUCAACCAAGAUGAUAUGAGCUGUCUCCCUGGUGCUUGACCCGUAGCCUUCUGAGCAGUAAUAAAUGCUUCCUAUUUUAACCACUGA